rnacentral:lncRNA from 1 species
GUUUGUAGAUCUUACUUUACUGAACAUUCUUGUUGCUACAAAUAUCUCUAUAAUGUACUUGGCCCAGUAAUUACAGUGGAAAAUAUUUUCUACAAAUUUACAAAAAUUUAUGAAAAAUGUUAAAAAUUAACUAUAAAGGGCAAUAACUCCUUAAGGGGUCAAUUGACUAUUUUGGUCAUUGAAACUUAUUUGUAGAUCUUAUUUUGCUGAACGUUAUUGCUGUAUACAGUUUAUCUCUAUCUAUAAUAAUAUUCAAGAUAAUAACCAAAAACA